rnacentral:rRNA from 1 species
UUAUGAGAGUUUGAUCCUGGCUCAGGACGAACGCUGGCGGCGUGCCUAAUACAUGCAAGUCGAACGCUUUUUCUUUCACCGGAGCUUGCUCCACCGAAAGAAAAAGAGUGGCGAACGGGUGAGUAACACGUGGGUAACCUGCCCAUCAGAAGGGGAUAACACUUGGAAACAGGUGCUAAUACCGUAUAACACUAUUUUCCGCAUGGAAGAAAGUUGAAAGGCGCUUUUGCGUCACUGAUGGAUGGACCCGCGGUGCAUUAGCUAGUUGGUGAGGUAACGGCU